AAGCGGAGGAAAAGAAACCAACAGGGAUUGCCUUAGUAACGGCGAGUGAAGCGGCAACAGCUCAAAUUUGAAAGCUGGCCCUUUUAGGGUCCGCGUUGUAAUUUGUAGAGGAUGAUUCGGCGAGGGCUCCUGCCUAAGUCCCCUGGAACGGGGCGUCAUAGAGGGUGAGAAUCCCGUAUGCGGUAGGUUGCCUUAGCCAUGUGAAUCUCCUUCGACGAGUCGAGUUGUUUGGGAAUGCAGCUCUAAAUGGGAGGUAAAUUUCUUCUAAAGCUAAAUACCGGCCAGAGACCGAUAGCGCACAAGUAGAGUGAUCGAAAGAUGAAAAGCACUUUGGAAAGAGAGUUAAAAAGUACGUGAAAUUGUUGAAAGGGAAGCGCUUGCAACCAGACUUGUCCGCAGUUGCUCAGCCGGUCUCCUGACCGGCGUACUCUUCUGCGGCCAGGCCAGCAUCAGUUCGGGCGGUCGGAUAAAGGCCUCGGGAAUGUGGCUCCUCUCGGGGAGUGUUAUAGCCCGGGGUGCAAUGCGGCCAGCCUGGACUGAGGAACUCGCUUCGGCAAGGAUGCUGGCGUAAUGGUUGUAAGCGGCCCGUCU
rnacentral:sRNA from 1 species